GUGUUUGCUUUGGAAGCAUGUAUACUAAAAUUAGAACUAUAAAGAGAAGAUUAGCAUGGUCCCUGCACAAGGAUGAUACACAAAUUUGUAAAAUGUUCCAUAUAUUU
ensembl:snRNA U6 U6 spliceosomal RNA